rnacentral:lncRNA from 1 species
UACAAGAAAUAGUUAUGCAAAUUACUUAGAUGUUCUAAGCUUACACAACUUUCCUUCAACAGAGAAGGCACUGCAGCUCUGUGAAGGGUUAUACUUGUAUACUAGAGGAGAGAAUCUAACAUCAGGGUAACUUGCUAGAUUGAAGAAGCAGAAGGAAAAGAAAGUCAGGGCCUGCAGGAAGUUCCCUUACCUGAGCCUUCUCUGCUCCAAACAACACUUUUCACAACAAACCAUUAAUGUUGCAGUAAUUAAAUGAAGACAGGAGCCUCACACACCCAACUAGAGUACAAGAUACUAAAGCAGAGUGCAGUUCCUGUGUAGAAACAGAAGACAGAAAACAUGAUGGGUGUGUUGGCUACUGUAUUCAUCAGCAAGACAUCCAAAAAGCAUUCUAACAUCUGUGCGAAGUGUGAGCACCCUCAUACUUGAGUGAAUAUUUCUAAUAUGGCAUGAGCAGCCUGAACUUUCCAUGCCAGAGGAUCCUUAACCAUACAAACAGGAAUAAUUUGAUCCCCCACAGGAAAUGCAGUCACCUGUGGGGUGGAUGAAGGCAGCUUUUUAAUAAUGCAUAACAUCAUUACACAACAAUUCAGGUAAAGACUGCUAUUAACACUUUAUCCAUUUUGAAAGUACACUGCAAGUAUAAAAUUAGGUUAGGGCUGUCAAGCAAUU